rnacentral:misc_RNA from 1 species
CUUACCCCUUAUAUCUCUCUCCACUGUCUCCUUGCUUAUGAUACAUUAACAAAUUGUACAAAUUCCAAAACAUGUAUAGAUAUAUAUAUUAACAAUAAAAUAUUAUAACAAGAUGCGGAUUGAGAAGGAACACUUUCCGCUUCUGCUCAUUCUCCUACUACAUUAGUGGUAUUUUCCCCUUCUCUUUCUCUUUCCUCUAUCUCUGUCUCUCUUCUCCCUUUAUAUCCUGUAGUAACAACUCAAUAAUCAAGAAGAUCAGAUCCAAGAAGAGGAUUACCCGUCUAUCAAAAUAUCCACUGAUCAGUCACUCCAUCAAUCAAAUCAAGAAUCAAAAUCCCAAAAGAAUCAAAAAGAUGUCCUCCUCAUCAGCUGCUUUUUCACCGGACCACCUCUCUCCCUCCGACCAGCUCUGUUACGUCCAUUGCAACUUUUGUGACACUGUCCUCGCGGUGAGCGUGCCUUGCUCUAGCUUGUUCAAGACUGUCACGGUUCGAUGCGGCCACUGCACCAACCUUUUGACCGUGAACAUGCGUAGCCUGCUUCUUCCUUCGGCUAACCAGCUGCACCUUGGUCAUGCUUUCUUCAAUCCGCAGAACAUCCUGGAGGAGAUCCGGAGCGCGGCACCACAGAAUAUGCUGAUAAAUCAACCCAAUCCUAAUGAGCCAUUUAUCCCAGUGAGAGGAGGAAUGGAGGAGCUCCCUAAGCAACCCGCGGUUAACAGACGUGAGAUUUUACAUAUAUAUAUAUAUUUUAUUACUUUUUUUCAACAUUUUCAGGUCAAUGGUCGACCUUUGUCUUGUUGAAGAAGAAGCGAAAGUUAGUCAACACCAUUGACUGUUUCUAGCCUUUGCUAGGCGCAGUAUUCUCUAAUAGUCGCUUAACUAGUUGAGAAAAAAGCUUCUAUAGGGCGCAUAUAAUCGACAGUGCCUGAGAUUUCUUGGUUUGGGCCAAGAAGCAAGAAUAUUCCGGACACUUGUUUCAUGCCUUACUUUCUUCUUCAUGUUAUUCCACAUUAAUAUGAUACUACCAGAACGCCUACUUCAGAUCUGCCGGUAUAGCUGAUCACAUUACUUUUAAGACCCCAGCUGCUCCCGCUAUGCACCGUUUUCUGUUUACCACUUUCUAGUUUCUUCGUUUGUUUUUACUAAGCCCCAAAUUUACGAAGAUCGAAGCUCAAAAAGAUCCUUUAUGCUAACUUAUCAAAUGGGGUUCUUGAAUUCCUGUCAUAAAUUUCAUUAUCAAAAAUCGUAAUGUUGCUUCUCUGUGAUAAUUUUGUCUAUUUGUAUGUAUGUAAAUGAAAGAAAGUUUUUUCCCCCGGAAAUAUAGAUAGGGAAUUUAUGGAUUGCUAGAUAGAUAGAGAUGAUGAUGAAGUAAUGAUAGAGAGAGAGAGAGAGAGAAUGAAAUUAGAAAUCUUUCACAAAGUCAGCGAAUUGAUUUUAAUGUCUCUGUCCGUUUGUUCGCCUUUGUUAUGUCUGCGCGUUCCAUGUCCAGCUCCGGAGAAGAGACAGAGAGUCCCAUCAGCCUACAACCGCUUUAUCAAGUAAGCAAAUCUUUAACUUAAUACAAAAGAUAGAAGAAUUAAAGCUUGAAUUAAUUACAUAAAAUCUCUGUUUUCUUGUGUUAAUUAAUGAACUAAAGUGAGGAAUUUGUAUGUUUGUAUGAAGAAUAUGCUUGAACUUGACAUAUCUACCAAUCUGCAGGGACGAGAUCCAACGCAUCAAAGCUGGAAAUCCUGAUAUAAGCCACAGAGAGGCCUUUAGUGCAGCUGCAAAAAAUUGGGCCCACUUCCCACACAUCCAAUUCGGACUCAUGCCUGAUCAACCCGUGAAGAAAACCAAUGUGCGCCAACAGGAAGGAGAUGAAGUUCUCAUGAAAGAUGGGCUUUUUGCUCCUUCCAAUCUGGGUGUUGCACCCUACUAAUAAGCACAACUAUUAGGGCUUCUUUUGCACCUCUCUUUGUCUUCUCUUCUCUUCUCUUCUCUUCAACUGUUAAUUAUUAGGCGACUUGUUUUAAGCUUUCUUCCCAGGAGACUACUAAAGACCAUGGGUAAUUAUUGGUUGGAUUGUGUUAGUAAUGGUGUUUCGGAGAGGAUUUUUCAAGUUUCAUUAACUGAUAUUCUCUCUUUAACUGUAAGAAAAUGAAGUUCUCUAAUGUGGGCACUUUGGAAUUUUUAGAACAUCGUUACUACUGAUAAUGAAUCCUCCCAUCUAAUUAUUCAGUCUCUCAUUACAUUUAAUUAUAUAUAUUUUAUGAAGAAUCACGCGCCACUUAAUGAAAAUAGAAUUACAGGUUUUGAAGCUAUUGGUGAGUUAAUUAUAAUUUCCAGAAAUGGAAUAUGGAAUGGUUAGCUAGAUUUUAUAGGUAUAACUUCCGCAGGCUUUAAAGAAGACUGCGAAAGUUUCUUGUUCUGGGUGAUUUUUCAAGUCUGAAAUUUUUGUCAAGCCUGUAACUCAUGCAUACGCUGUAAUCUUUUUCUCUUCUUUUCUUU